GCAUCCACGCAGCCCGAUCCCGGGCCUUCCACCCUACCACACAGCUGAACAUGCUGUGCAUUGUUAUCGUGAUUUUUAAAAAGCCUUACCAGCUGGGAAAAUGAUUUCUUUUAGGCACAGGCCCUAUCUGCUUCGUGUCUGGGGACACUUCAUGAGGUGGGGACACCCUAGGAAAGCCUCUGGUCCUCUGCUGGUCCCUCCGGUCCUGGGUCUGGAGUUUCCCUGAGAGAGGAUGAGAGAAGACGAGGAGGCCGUCACAGCCGACACCGUGGGGAGGAGGCGUGUAGAUCCUAGAACUGAACUAGUUGAGCAACUCAUCUCUGACCUGCUCUGCUGGCCUGGAGAAAUGAAUACACUGAGGCCUCUCCCCUGCCCCUUCACGACUUACCCGAGGCUUCCAUCUGUUCAGUCUUGAGGAUGAGGAAGGACAAGGAGAGCCUUGGGCCAGAAAUAUAGGUUGCUCCACGGAAGUUCUUAAAUCCUUGAAUUGCAGGGAAGAUUUUUGAGGAAGAUUAGCCUCUUUGUGCUGAGGAAUCCUGGCCCUGAGCUAACAUCCGUGCCCAUCUUCCUCUACUUUAUAUGUGGGACGCCUACCACAGCAUGGCUUGCCAAGCGGUGCCAUGUCCGCACCUGGGAUCCGAACCGGCGAACCCCGGGCUGCCGAGAAGCAGAACAUGCACACUUAACCACUGCGCCACUGGGCCGGCCCCUCCUCCAUGUCUUUUCAUUGCUUGAUAUCUCUUUUUUUUUUUUUAGCGCUGAAUAAUAUUCUGUUGUCUAGAUGUA
rnacentral:lncRNA from 1 species